rnacentral:ribozyme from 1 species
AGUGCUUGAAGCUGAGACAACUGAAAUUGAAAAGCUUCCACUACCACGAUGCAUUUUUAGGAAAAACAAGCAUGUUAGAUAUUUCUGGA